GUUUGCCAGCGAAGGAGAGCGAGGGUGGGAGCAAUAGAAAUCACCUGAAUCGUAGCUAAACAAGUCGCUUCUUGAUUGUUCAAUUGACAACUGCCAUUGCACUUUGAGGAUCCGCUCAGGGCACAUUUUCAUUCCUUGGCAAAACUCCCUUCCCCACCCUUUCCCCAGCCUUGUGUACAAAGAAAAUGCAAAUACAUGUAAAUAUUAGCCUAAGCCACAGUCUUCUUGGAAGGUAAGGCUGCUGCCCCCGCUGCUUCUGCUGCUGCUGCUUUUAAAAAAAAAAAAAAAAAAAUCCUAUAAUGCAAGUGAAAGGACAGAUUUUCUGAGCCACUGCUCCUGCACCAGGGUGAGGCCUCUGAGAAGCCUUGGUUUUCUGAAGAGAGGGCCUCAUGUGGAGCGUGCCUGGAAUGAGAGCAGCAGAGGGACAGCUCCUCCGCUCUCCGCAGAGAGGCCUGGCCAGCAGCCUGGGUCUGGCAUCCCUGGAUCUCCAGGGCCUUGUACGAUGACUGACACACAGGUGUUGUCAUGCCUGGAGGGGAGACCUGGAGUUACUAAAGCCAUCUUGCCAUCAGCCUGAGAGGGAACAGAUUCUGGAGGAUGACAGAGCCUAAAGAUGGAUCACUGUAUCUGCUGUGUGAAAAACAGACUGGGGAGGCUGGAAGGGGCAAGGCCAGAACCAAGGAGACUACUUAGGAAACUAUAGCAAGAGUCAAGGUCUUAGGAGGAAAUACCUAAGAAGAGGUGAUUAAUUACUGUCUGAAAAGUGCUUUGAGAUCCUCUGAAGGAAGAGACCCAUGUGGCAAGGAACAGAGAGUAGCCACCAGCCAGCGGCCAUGUUGUGCGUAGCACUCUUCAGAGACCUGCAUGGCAAAGAAUUGAUGCCUCCAUUCAGCAGUCAGCCAGGAUCUGAGGCCUCUCAACAGCC